rnacentral:rRNA from 1 species
UACAGAGGUCCCGAGCGUUGUUCGGAUUCACUGGGCGUAAAGGGUGCGUAGGCGGUUGGGUAAGUCUGAUGUGAAAUCCCGCAGCUUAACUGCGGAACUGCAUCGGAUACUAUCCAGCUAGAGGAGUGGAGGGGAGACUGGAAUUCUCGGUGUAGCAGUGAAAUGCGUAGAUAUCGAGAGGAACACCAGUGGCGAAGGCGAGUCUCUGGACACCUCCUGACGCUGAGGCACGAAAGCCAGGGGAGCAAACGGG